rnacentral:rRNA from 1 species
AACGAACGCUGGCGGCGCGCUUAACACAUGCAAGUCGAGCGAGAACCAGGACUUCGGUCCUGGGGAAAGCGGCGAACGGGUGAGUAACACGUGGGUAACCCACCCUCGACACUGGGAUAGCCCGGGGAAACCCGGAUUAAUACCGGAUGCUCUCUCGGAUUCUCGGAUCCGUGAGAAAAGGUGGCUUCGGCUUCCGGUCGAGGACGGGCCCGCGGCCGAUUAGCUUGUUGGUGAGGUAACGGCUCACCAAGGCGACGAUCGGUAGCUGGUCUGAGAGGACGAUCAGCCACACUGGGACUGAGACACGGCCCAGACUCCUACGGGAGGCAGCAGUGGGGAAUCUUGCGCAAUGGGCGAAAGCCUGACGCAGCGACGCCGCGUGAGGGAAGAAGGCCUUCGGGUUGUAAACCUCUUUCAGGAGGGACGAAGCCACUCGGGUUAAUACCCCAGAGGGUGACGGUACCUCCAGAAGAAGCCCCGGCUAACUACGUGCCAGCCGCCGCAGUAAUAC